UACGUAGGUGGCAAGCGUUGUCCGGAUUUACUGGGCGUAAAGAGCGCGCAGGCGGUCGUUCAAGUCGAGUGUGAAAGCCCCCGGCUCAACUGGGGAGGGUCAUUCGAUACUGAUCGACUCGAAGGCAGGAGAGGGAAGUGGAAUUCCCGGUGUAGUGGUGAAAUGCGUAGAUAUCGGGAGGAACACCAGUGGCGAAGGCGACUUCCUGGCCUGUUCUUGACGCUGAGGCGGCGAAAAGCUAGGGGAGCAAACGGGG
rnacentral:rRNA from 1 species